rnacentral:rRNA from 1 species
AAGGACCUUACCUACUCUUGACAUCCAGAGAACUUAGCAGAGAUGCUUUGGUGCCUUCGGGAACCGUGAGACAGGUGCUGCAUGGCUGUCGUCAGCUCGUGUUGUGAAAUGUUGGGUUAAGUCCCGCAACGAGCGCAACCCUUAUCCUUUGUUGCCAGCGGUCCGGCCGGGAACUCAAAGGAGACUGCCAGUGAUAAACUGGAGGAAGGUGGGGAUGACGUCAAGUCAUCAUGGCCCUUACGAGUAGGGCUACACACGUGCUACAAUGGCAUAUACAAAGAGAAGCGACCUCGCGAGAGCAAGCGGACCUCAUAAAGUAUGUCGUAGUCCGGAUUGGAGUCUGCAACUCGACUCCAUGAAGUCGGAAUCGCUAGUAAUCGUGGAUCAGAAUGC